rnacentral:lncRNA from 1 species
CGGUAAAAAAAACCGGAUGAUGCUGUAAUUGUUUAGCUUGUUUAAAAUGAGCUAGCAUAAACGAACUAAGACGUGUCAACAUAAUGUGAAUAUGAUAACGAAUCAGGUAAAUUAUUUCUUGUUAAGUUUAUCACCUCAUCGUAUCAUCAUAUGAUAGGUAAAUGCGUGAAUUUUCGAUUUUCAGUGUCGUCAGGGAUCAAACUUGUAAUCAUGCCAUCCUUUCAUUAUUUUUUUUUAAAUACUAUCCAAUGGUCGGAACACCUUGAUUUUCUCCCAAUUUGUAAAGUUGAUUAUGUUGCAUGAUAUAUAUUUUUAUCGGGGAAAAAAUUGAUAUGCAGCAAAGAUUGGCAGUUUUUAAUUUGUGUUGCUAUGUGAAAUAAUGGGAGGUAAAUUAAAGUAUAAGAAGGCGCGCUUUUUCAAAUAGUAAACAAUUUAAUUCAGAUGCAUAGUAUUUUGUCAAAUGAUAAAGAAUAUCGUAGAAACUUACUAGAAAUUCAUCUAAUUUAUAAAAUAUAUACAACAUGACAUACUGAAAUCUGAAAAGGGGUAAAACCACUAUACCUUGAACAAAUUCAGUUAAAAAAAGGGGGGUGGUGAAAAUGCUACGAAAUUUAGAUUAUAUUUAUCUGGGGUCUACAACCAAAGGAUGAUGGGACAUGCAACUAACUACUUUUUCAAUUUGAUUGUAAAGUAAAAUGGCUGUGGUUUUUUUGGGGGGAUUUUUUUUUAGCAUCUCUGUUCAAACGUACGUUGGUCUAAUAUUUUCAGGUUCUCUUUGGAUUGCCAAAUAAUAUUAUAAUCACCUAAUUGAAUGUUCAAAUUAUUUUGCAGUGAUGUUCUGUAUGGAAGGAAGACUGUCAUAAAAUCUAACAGUUCCGGAUGGCCCGUUAAACUAAUUGCUUAACAUCAAUAACGAUGUAAGAUUCAAGUGUCUGAUCCAGCACAAGUUUAGCCAGAUUUUCCACACUAGACAGUGUCUGGCAUUGAAAGGAUAUCAAACGGAUGUUUUAUGGAAUGAUUCUCACGUACAUAUGACAAUCAUAUGCAUAGGAAUGUGGAGCUAGACUCUUUCAUGCAACAAUUUAAUUUCCAAUAUAAACUCCGAAAAGACAAGAGCAUAGAAAUGUACAUCAAUGAGAAACAUUCUUUGUGAAUAAAAUCCUUCCAAAACUUAAAAAUGUGUCAUUAGUGUUGCAUUAUUUAUCAGUAGAGAUAAUUAGAUUCCAGUCAGAUUGCCCAACUGAAGGUUUUUGUUGGAAAUGUUUUGUAAAUCUUGGCUGUUUUGCAAG